rnacentral:rRNA from 1 species
UUCGAUGCAACGCGAAGAACCUUACCUGGGCUGACAUCCCGGGAAUCCCCUGGAAACAGGGAGUGCCCUUCGGGAACCCGGUGACAGGUGCUGCAUGGCUGUCGUCAGCUCGUGUCGUGAGAUGUUGGGUUAAGUCCCGCAACGAGCGCAACCCUUGUCUUUAAUUGCCAUCAUUUAGUUGGGGCACUUUAAAGAGACUGCCGGUGUUAAGCCGGAGGAAGGUGGGGAUGACGUCAAGUCCUCAUGGCCUUUAUGCCCAGGGCUACACACGUGCUACAAUGGGCGGUACAAAGAGAAGCAACCUCGCGAGGGUGAGCAAAUCUCAAAAAGCCGUUCUCAGUUCGGAUUGAAGUCUGCAACUCGACUUCAUGAAGUCGGAAUCGCUAGUAAUCGCGGAUCAGCAUGCCGCGGUCGAAUACGUUCCCGGGCCUU